GCGGCGCGGAAGGAGCUCGACGCGCGACCCCAAACGCAAGUUAGCAGGUGGCGAGAAGGCAGGAGGACACGGCCCCCAACCGGCAGAAAACCAUCGGGAGACGCGGACCCAGCUAAGACCGACGGGAAGAUUAGACGAGCACUGAAACAGAGGAGAAUGCCAGCAGAAGCCUGUCCGAUGCCUGGCGGAGACCACUUCCAGAGAGGCACGCGGGGGCCCCGAACGUCACCCCAAACCCACCGGGACGCGAGGGGGCCACCCCCGCGCUGCAGGCGCUGCGGGACAGAGACACACAGGACUGAGUCUGGGUCCAGACCAACAACUACCAUUGGAACUCGUGUGAAAUUACGCUUUGCCAUUUGAUUCCUCCCUUACUGAUUAAAUCUACACGGCGGUGCCCGGAGACAGGGCGGCCGAGGGCCCCGCAA